rnacentral:lncRNA from 1 species
CCUGCAAUUGCUUCAUGAACAUUUCGUGGUAAUAGUUCCUUGAAGGCAAACGGAAGGAGGCGCUGCAUCAUUACAUGGCAAUCGUGGCUUUUCAAGCCAGUAAACUUUCCUUCCUUUCUGUCGAUACAGUUACGCAAAUUUGAUGCGUAACCGUCUGGAAAUUCCACAUCGUUUGAAAUCCAAUCAAAGAACGCAUCUUUGCCCUCUGCAUCAAGUCGGUAUAUGGGAAAAGGAGCCCUACCAUUCUCAUCAACAUGAAGUUCUGAACGAGCGCAUAUAUCGACUAAAUCCAGUCUUGACUUCAAAUUAUCCUUUGUUUUACCUUGAACAUUAAGGAUCGUGUUCAUGAGAUUGUCAAA